rnacentral:rRNA from 1 species
UACGUAGGGGGCUAGCGUUGUCCGGAUUUAUUGGGCGUAAAGAGCGUGUAGGCGGCCAGGUAGGUCUGCUGUGAAAACUCGAGGCUCAACCUCGAGACGUCGGCGGAAACCAUCUGGCUAGAGUCCGGAAGAGGAGAGUGGAAUUCCUGGUGUAGCGGUGAAAUGCGUAGAGAUGUGGAGGAACACCGAUGGCGAAGGCAGCCUUCUGGGCCAACACUGACGCUCAUGCACGAAAGCGUGGGGAGCAAACAGG